rnacentral:rRNA from 1 species
UACUCGGAUAACUGUGGCAAUUCUAGAGCUAAUACGUGCAAGAAGGCUCGGACCUUUUGGGAAGAGCGCAUUUAUUAGACCAAAACCAAUCGAGCUUCGGCCUGAGCUUUGGUGACUCUGAAUAACUAAGUUGAUCGCACAGUCUUAGUACCGGCGACGCAUUUUUCAAAUGUCUGCCUUAUCAACUUUCGAUGGUAGUUUAUGUGCCUACCAUGGUUAUAACGGGUAACGGAGAAUAAGGGUUCGACUCCGGAGAGGGAGCCUGAGAAAUGGCUACCACAUCCAAGGAAGGCAGCAGGCGCGCAAAUUACCCAAUCCCAGAACGGGGGAGGUAGUGACGAAAAAAUAACGACGGUAGUGGGGCUUGGGGCCGCCAUCGGAAUGGGACAU